CCAAAAAUCCCCCGAGUAUCAUGUGUUUUUGAAUGAUCUUCCUGGGAAUGACUUCAACACCAUUUUCAGGUCCUUGUCCAUCUUCCAGAACAAACUGAGGGAGCAACUUGAACCCGGUAUUGGGCCAUGUUUUUUCACUGGAGUACCUGGUUCUUUCUACGGAAGGCUUUUCAGGAAAAACUGCCUUCGUUUUGUACACUCUUCCUAUAGUCUGCAAUGGCUCUCUCAGGUUUAGUUUAUAUAUUAAUGAAGUAUAGUCUAAUAUAAUAUAUCUGUAAUCACUUUAGAAUGAAAAAGAGCUUGUAAUUUAUGAGUGGACUAUUUUGAUUUGAUCCAGGUUCCUCAAGGGCUGGAAAGUAAUAAAGGGAACAUUUACAUGGCUAGCACAAGUCCACCAAACGUGCUUAAGGCUUACUAUGAGCAAUUUCAACAGGAUUUUUCCUUGUUUUUAAAGUGUAGGUCAGAGGAACUGGUGGAUGGAGGGCGCAUGGUUUUGACAUUUUUAGGGAGAAGAAAUGAUGACCCUUCAAGCAAAGAGUGUUGUUACAUUUGGGAGCUUUUGGCCAUGGCUCUCAAUGAUAUGGUCCUUGAGGUAUAGAAUGAAUAAUUCUACUCACCGUUGCUGGGAUUUGAAACAUACAUUUGCAGGAUAGGAUACAAUCUUUUAAAGAUAACUAAAUGAAUCAAUCAAAUUUAGGUUAUUCCAUCAGGGAUAGUUAUCAAUUGGACACUAGUUGAUAUUAUCUAUAGAUUUGAGCCACCCCACCUACCUACGUAUCAUAUCAUUUCCCAAAACUGAAAAUCUGAUAUUGACUGGCCCAUAAACUAGUAAACUAGGGAGUUAAUUCCCUAAAGUAUAUUUUGCUGCAUAUAUAUAUAAAGUUGAUAAACUAGAUAUUAAUUAGAUAAUAAAGAAAACAUGAAAUAAAUGCAGGGAGUGAUAGAAGAAGAGAAACUGAACAGCUUCAACAUCCCACAAUACACACCAUCUCCAGCAGAGGUUAAAUAUGAGGUUGAGAAGGAAGGGUCGUUCAGCAUCGAUCAAUUGGAAGUAACUGAAGUGAAUUGGAACGCUUAUCAGAACGAAACUGACUUAUCUGAUGCAUUCAAGGAUGGUGGGUACAACGUCGCCAAGUGCAUGAGAGCUGUGGCUGAACCACUGCUUUUCAGCCACUUUGGUGAAGCAAUCAUCGAUGAAGUGUUUCGAAGGUACAGAGAAAUUGUUGCUGAUCCCAUGUCCAAAGAGAAGACUGAGUUUAUCAAUGUCAUUGUUUCUCUUAAAAAAGCUUGAUUAUUAUGUCAUCAGUGGUUAUCUAGCGUGGAACCCCCACCACCACCACAAAACCAAUCAAUAUUAUAUGGUACAAAUGAACUGUGCUACGGCACUGUUAUCCAAUCAAGAAUAAUUCCAUGCUUGCGAGUUGUUUGUAAAAUUUUACCACUCUUUAUUUUUAAUUUCUAAAUACAUCAAAAUAAUAAAAUUUACAAACCAAUACCUAAAAUUACAAAGUCAAAGUUGACAAAUUAUCAGUUUUCUUUCUGUUUUCAAUGUCAAAAGUUUUAUAAUAGCCACCACCUCAUAAAUUAAGGAAAAGAAAAGACAUUUUCAAUUCCAAUGUAUAUUCAUCCAAGGAAACAACAAAAGUUCUAAAAUAUAGUUAAUAUAGACCCUAUAUAUCUAUGCAGGAUAAAAAAAAUUACCUAUUCCAAAAUGUUAAAAAUUUAUUCUUAAUGCUAUUAAUUUUGUAGAAUUUAAGAAAAUUGAAAUUGUUUUUUUAACAAGGUGACAGUGAAGUUGAUGAAUUUGCAAUUUUGAUGUUAUUUGAAAUUUAUUGGUUAAAAAAGAAAAUGCGUCAUAUAGGGCGCACUUUCAACCAUGUCAGCUGAACACGCAUUUUCAUUAAAAAUUGACAAUUUAAUUUUUUUGGUCAGAUGGUUAAAUGUUGGUGUAUUUUGUCGUUGAGCCACUGUUCGAUUCCUCUUCUACUCACAUUUGUAUUUUUUAUUUCAUUUUAUUUUAAGCUUUUUUUAAUUAAUAUUUUUGACAUAUUAACUCUUUUUAUUUCAUGUUGUUUCAAGCUUUUUUAUUUAUUUUUAAUUAAUUUUUAUAAUUAAUAAAUAUAUUGUUUUUAAAAAAAAUUUUGUGCUACUAUAUAAUGCAUAUAUGGUUAACCAUGGAUCAUACCAAUAAAAUUACUUCUUUUCAAUUUGAAUGGAAAUAGGAACAUUAAUAAAAAUAUUAUUGAAAAUAAAAAAAGGAACUCCCUUAUAGCACCAAACCAAAAAAAAAAAAUAUUGGAUUAGAGAAUCGAAAUCAAGAAGAAAAAGAACCUAUUGGUGAAGGGGGUCUUGUACCAUAUGCACAAAAAUAAGGAAAUUUUUUUAAAAAAAAUUGAAAACAAUAUAUUUAUUAAUUAUAAACAUUAAUUAAAAAUAAAAAUAAAAAUAAAAAAAAGCUUGAAACAACUUGGAAUAAAAAUAGAAUAUUAAAAUGCUUACAAGAGGAAUUGAACUUGGGACUUAAGAAUGAAAUCACAAUUAUCUAACCAUCUAACCAAAAAAACCAAUAUGUCAAAAAUAUUAAUUAAAAACAAAAAAAGAGAGAGCUUAAAACAACAUGAAAUAAAAAUAAAAAUGUGAGGGAGAGGAAUUGAACCUAAAAUUGAAGGACAAAAACACUAACACUUAACCAUUUGAUAAAAAAAAAACUAAAUUACCAAUUUUUAGUGAAAAUAUAUCUUGUAAGACGCAUUUUCAACUGAUGUGAUUCAAAGCGCGCCCUUUAAUAUGUGUUUUUAUUGACAUGAUAGAUAAGACGCGUUUUUCUUUUUUCUUAAAAAAUAGUCAUCAACAUACUUUUAAAUAUUAUCCAUGAUAAAUGAGACCUAGUUAAAUGAAAAUGUGACACAUUUUAGAUGACAUAUAAGCUAAGUAUUAUUAUUAUUUAAAUUUGGUUUCGUGUAAAAUGUAAAUAAACCUAAUUGCAGCACAUAAGGUAAGAAUGAAUAGUUUUUGUUAAUGAAAUAAGUACAGAAAAUUAUUACUUUAGUUCCAUGUUUAAGUAAUUAUAUAGAUGAAGUCCACGUAGUGUUAAAAUUCAACUACUUUAUAAAUAAUUUAAUGUAAUACCAAAGCAAAGCUAUUAUGUAGUACGUCAUUUAAAUAACGCUAUUAAUAUGACGCCUGCGUUAAUGACAUGUUAUCCGGAGAUAAUAUUUUAAUAAAUUAACGGAGAACAGUAACAUUUAUUUUAUUUUAUUUUUCUUCAAUCCAAGAAUUUGCCUAUGCUGUGUCUGAACUUAAUCUUCUCACCAAAGAAAUGAUUCUUAUUUUGCAGUUUAUAGAAAAAACUGUAACACCUCUUACCCGAGACCAUUGCCGGAAUAGAGCACGAUAUGUCAUCUAACUUAACUUACUAGUUCAGAGUAUAAAAAUUUGCUUUUAAAAUUAAUUUCACUGUUCACAACAAAACUGUCCACCUGCGCGACUGUCACUAAUUUAAUUAUAACUUGAGUUACGAAACUCGAAAUUUAAAUCCGUAAAUUUUUCCUGAAACUAGACUCAUAUACCUUCUUUCCAUAAAAUUUUCAGAAUUUUUGACUUAACCAAUUAGUACAGUUUAUUCAUUAAAGUCUCCCCUGUUUCACAGUUCGACAGUUCUGUCCUCUUGGCACUAAAAAUCAAUUAUCUCAUUGUACAGAAUUCAUAUAAUGUUAUCGUUUGUUUCUUUUGAAAAUAGACUCACUAAAUCAUAUUUCAUGCUUAUAACAGCCCUCAAUUUCACAAAAUCACAAUUUUAUGCAUAUUUAACUAUCUUUCACGAUUUAGUCCUUUUUCAACAUUUUCAUCAAAAUUCAUCUAGUAAAACUUGUAAUUAGCACUUCAAACAUUUAUUAUCUAACAUCACUUAUCAAAUUACAACUAUAUCAUGAAUGAGUCCAUUUUUAAACUUUAAUUUCAUUUAAAAUAAAUGGUAGAAACAUGAAAUUCAAGCUUCAAUAAGCAUAAAAAUACGAAAAUAAUUAAAAACGGGGCAAGAAAUCACUUACAAUUGAGCUUAGAAAAAUCAAGAACCCUAGCUUAUAUAACAUGAAAGUUUCGCAGCGACUCUUUAAUUUUGAAGAAGAUGGACACUUAUUUUCACUUUAUUUUGUCUUUUAUUCACCUUUGACAAAAAUACCCUUGACCAUUUACUUAGAUAUUUUUCUAGAAUUACCCUUUUGUGUCCAUAACACUAAUUUAUGGUCUAUUUUACAUAAACACUUCCAAUUUCAUGCAAUAAUUCAAUUAAGUCAUUUAAUCACUAAUUAGACACACUUUGCAUUUUUCUCAAUUUAGUCCUAAAAAUUCAAUUAGGCACUAAAUCAUUAAAAUAUCCUAUCCAUAUUUUUCACACAAUAUUUCAAUCAAUCAGUAAUGAAUAAAAAUUUAUAAAAUUAAACUAUUUCACUUCGGAUUUGUGGCUACGAAAUCACGAUUCCGAUUAGGCCCUAUUUCGGGCUAUCACAAAAACAAAUUAAGUUUAAAAAAAAAACAAAAGGGUAAACUAGACCCAAUUAUUAAUAAUUCAUUUGUCAAAGCUUCAAAAUAGUCACACAACUAUUUAUUUUUGUCUUUUUUAGUCACCAGCUGAUUAAUAGUAACGUCUUUUAAAAUUGGUAUAAUAGUAACUUUAUCCCUCAAUAUUUAUACAUUUUGUUAACCAAUUCUUAAUUCUAAAAAAUAUAACCCUUAGUUUAUACAAAUUAUGUAAUUUGGGUAGUUCUAGACAUUAUAUAUAUAAAAAAUAACCACUAUAUAAAUAAUUGGCUUAACUAUAAUCAAUAAAAAGCCCUCAGUAAAAAAAAUAAUUAAAAUCUAUUGAGUUCUUAUGAAAAAAGUUCACCUAAUUGAGCCAUCAGUGACAAAAAAAUACCGACUUCUUUUGUUAAUGGAAACUAUCAGUUGACCGGUUUGAUCGUUAACCAUAUCGGUGUGGCUAAUGAAAGUCAUUAGAAGCUGCCACGUAGCAGUAUGUUGAUGAGGCCUGACAGGUCAGCAAAAUAUGAAAAUAAUUCUUUUAAAAAAUAAUAAAAAUUAAAUUUAGACAAAUGAUUGCUUAAAAAUUAAAAAAAUCCAAAAAUUAUAAACAAAAUUAUUAAUAAUUAUUUAAGAAUUCGAAGAUAUUAUAAAAAUAAAAUAUGGAAAAAAUUCAAAAAAAAAUUUAAAAACUUAUUUUAAAAAAGCUAAUAAAAAUAUGCAUUCAGAAUGUACAAAAACAAAUGGUUGUUUAGGUUUUACUGAAGUUGGGAUAAUUAAUUUUCUAGAUUCAUUAUAGAUGAGUUUAAAAUUAGAAAAAAAAAUUAGAAAAUCUAAAAAAUAUUAAUAAUUAUUGAAAAUUUUUAAAAAUUAAAAAUGUGAAAAAAACAAAAAAAAUAAUUGAUGUUUUAAAAAUUAUUUGAUUUUUUUACAAUUAUAAAAUCUUUCGUCCAUAUUCCAAUGCAUUGUCUAAUCCUAUUUUUUUUUAAAUCAGGGCAAAAUACCAAAAAAGCCAAUUUUUUUAAAUUUACCGAAAUGGGCCUGGUAUUUUAUUAUUUACCGGAAUGGGCCCUUUUCCCCUAAAUCGCGUCCACAUCAGCACGAUGUCAGGAAAUCGCGUCCACGUCAGCACGCUUUGCUAACAUGGCAACAAAUCGCGUCUUCUGAAGCGCGAUUUGUGUCCACGUCAGUAAAGUGCGCUGACGUGGACGCGAUUUCCUGGCAUGUAGCGUGCCCCUGGGGACGCGAUUUCGCCGUGUUUCCCACCUUAGGGUUUUUAGGGUUUAUGGAGAAAAAAGUAAACAAAUAAGGGAUUAAGGUUUAGGGUUUCAUAAUUAAAUUAAUUAAAAUUUAUUCAAAAUUAGAUUACGUUUCGUGUUUAUGGGUUUUUAAGAUAAAAUCAAAGCAGGAUGAUUUAUCAGAAGGAUUUUUGAAGUUGCGCCUACGUGUACACGCUUUUGCUACAGUAGGUCCUGAAAAAAUAAUUUCGAGUUGACGUUUCUGAGAAAAUAGUUAAAAAAAUGCUUCAAGCAGGAUGCUUUAUGAGAAGAAUUUAUGAAAUCCCGCCCUCGUGGACGUGCUUUUGCUAUAGUUGGUCCUGGAAGAAAUAAUUUCGAGUUUACGUUUUUGAACAAAUAGUUUAAAAAAACGCUUCAAGUAGGAUGCUUUAUAAGAAGAAUUUGUGAAGUCGUGCCCACGUGGACGCGCUUUUGCUAUAGUAGGUCCUGAAAAAAUAAUUUUGAAUUGACGUUUCUGAGCAAAUAGUAUAAAACAACGCUGUAAGCAGCAUGCUAUUUGAGAAGAAUUUGUGAAAUCGCGCCCUUGUGGACGCACUUUUGCUACAGUAGGUCCUGGAAAAAUAAUUUUGACUUGACGUUUCUGAGUAAAUAGUAUAAAAUCGCUUCUAGCAGGAUGCUUUAUGAGAAGAAUUUGUGAAAUUGCGCCCACGUGGACGCGCUUUUGCUACAGUAGCAUGUUUAGGCUGAGGCUAUAAAUGAGGCAAAAAAGGUUCUGAGAUUGCAUAAGUCACAGCAGAAACAAUUUAGAGAGGCUAAGAAGGUUAGAGUUUCAAAUAUGAGUGAACGUAUUAGUGUUGUUAUUUACUACGAUGAUGAGGUUUGCCACACCGAGAAUGGUGUUAUUUUUUUGUCGGAGAAUACGGUGCGACUGGUUUUUAACCAGAACAUAGAUUUGACAGAACUUCGUAAAAUAAUUAGGCAUAAAAUUUUCGGAACGACGCCAAUGAAAGUUUUUGUUUAUUACGUAUCGAUUCUGUUCCUUUGUUGAUCCGGUGACAUAUGACUCGUUUGACAUAAAAGGUACUCGCAGCUUGGAGGCAAUUGUGCAGACUCAUCUUGCUAGUGGAGCACCUUAUAUUGAGUUAUAUGUACAAUUUACAUCGCCAAAUGAUGUACUUGCGACCGGUGUUCGAGAUGUAUACACGACCCCUGGCCGACAGUCGGUUAGCGGGUUAAAAAACACGGAACAACCCAUAUUUGGUAGCUGUGUUGAAUGCACAUCCCCCGCAAGACACUCUGUCGGUGGAUGGGACAUGUACGUCGGUGACUCGAUGUUUGAUGCUGGAAAUACGUACUAUGGAACGGCAUCAAGUUCUAGUGGUUGGGAAUCUACAUCCAAUUGGGGACGUUAUGAAAUGCCUAGAAGAAGGGAUGAUGUACUCCCUACGACGUCAACCAGUGAGGGGACAUUGUACGCUGCAGAUGAUUGUGGGUUAGAAGAUGACUCCGAUGUGGAUCCACCUCGAGAGCCCAGGCCCGAUGGUGCAGAAAUUGGCUUAUUUUCUGAACCGAAGCCUAUUCCAAUAGAACCUGAAGAUGCUAAAAGGAGUUCAGAUGAAGAAGAAAAUCUACGAUUCAGAGCAUACUCACCUCCAACCCACAUGCAUAAUGUCGAUCUGCCUGCAGAUGAUGCGUUAGAGUUUCCAGAUCUACCACAUCGGUUGUGUGAUCGUACAAGUUGAGGGCUAGAUUCGGGUGAAUUUAAAGUUGGUAAUCAGUUUACCAAAACGGAUAGUUUUAUUGGUUCUUUGAAACAACAUAACAUCAAAAAUGGUGUUAACUACCACGUCGUUAAAUCUAAAUUUGAUAAGUUUGAGGCGAAGUGUGCGGUGCAAGACGGCACAUGUUUAUGGAAAAUCUACGCUUCGUUAAGGAAAAGGACAGAGUUGUGGGAGAUUAAAAAGUACAAAGGUCCACAUACAUGUGUUGCAGGUACAGUAUUGACGAUAUCUGAAUAAUACUUUUAUUAUGUAAUGUUACAUUAUUUAAUGUACUCUGUUUAUAAGUGUUUCACAAGAUCAUCCGAAGAUGGAUUCAGCUAUGUUAGCUAACUUGAUACUGCCCACGGUAAAAGCAGAUCCCAGGACUUCAGUGUCGGUGUUAAUUGCCAAUAUUCGUAGCCAAAUAGGGUAUACGCCCUCUUACCGCAAGGCUUGGAUAGCUAAGCAAAAGGUGUUGGAGAAGAUGCAUAGUGGGUGGGACGCCUCAUAUAAUGAAAUAUGGCAGUGGUGUCAAAUGCUAGAGAGAUACGUCCCAAGUGCCAUCACAGACCUUGAAACGGAACGCGCGUACUACAACGACCGAUUACUACGUGGAUACCAAGUGUUCAAACGCCUGUUUUGGACCUUUAAGCAAUGUCGAGAUGCAUUUCCAUACUGCAAGCCAUUGGUACAAAUUGACGGUACCUUUAUGUUUGGUAGGUAUACUCAUCGGCUAUUGCUUACGGUGGCACAGGAUGGCGGUGGGAGAAUUCUUCCAAUUCCAUUUGUAAUAACACCGGGGGAGUCGUCUGAUGACUGUGAUUUCUUUCUCUCUAGGUUAAUGAGGCAUGUGUGCUCCCAACCUGAUAUCUGUGUUAUUUCAAAUCGGGGCGCCGGUAUACUAGCUACAUUUGAUCGACAGGAAAGCUUAUGGCAGCACACACACCAUCGAUAUUGCCUAAGACACGUUGCUUCCAACUACUACAGGAAAUAUUCAUCUAAGAGCGAACGACAACAAGUGACCAACAUGGGUAUUUAGUCUAUAUCUGUGUUAUUUCGUUUCUCAAUUUGAAUUAGUUUUAUUGGUAGAAGUGGUAUGUAAUAUUCCCUAUGAACUUAUAUUGGCAGGGUAUGAAAUAAAUAAAGACCGUUUUCACGAGAUGUUGGCAACUUUACGUUUAAUUAACGGAGAAGGGGCGGACUACCUUUGUAACAUACGUUUCGAACAGUGGGCACAAGCAUACGACGGCGGCCUACAAUAUGACCAUAUGACGUCAAACCUGGCUGAAUGCAUAAAUUCUGUUCUUAAAGGAACGCGUCAUCUACCGAUAACAUCUGUUGUGCGAGAGACAUAUUUUCGUUUGACGGCGCUAUUUCCAAAGCGAGCAGCAAGUUAUACAGACCAGAUGUAGGGAGGACAUGUAUGGUGCAGUAAGGUAGUUCAAGAAAUUAACAAGGCCAAGGCGCGGGCAAACACCAUGCACACAGUGUGUCACGAUUAAGACAGCUUAUGGUUUCGUGUGACAAAGUUUGACAGGCCGCACAAAGGUGUUGGUGGCGGGCAAUAUCGUGUACACUUGCGAAAUAGGACUUGCGACUGUGGGAUGUUUGAUGCACUUCGUUAUCCAUGCCCUCAUGUUAUUGCAGCUUGUCAGAAUCUCCGUCUGGAUCCGAUGAGUUAUGUAGACGAAGUGUACAAAUUAGAAAACAUGUACAAUGUUUGGAGACACGUUUUUCCACCGGUCCCAGAUGAACGUAAGUGGCCGCCCGUAUCUCUUGUUCCUUUUAAGCUGUUACCAAAUAGAGAAUUACGUCGCAAACCAAAGGGUCGACCUUGCUCGACUAGAAUACGUAACAAUAUGGAUAUCCGAGAAACAGCCAGUUAACAGAAGUUGUGCGGAUGGUGUAGGAAUCCAGGCCAUACAAGUCGAUCAUGCCCUAAUCGCAAUAAUUGAAUGUAAUUUUAAAAAAAUAUAUAUUUUUUCAAUUAUUAAUUGAUAAUUGUAUUAGUUGUUAGUAAAAUUAUAAAAUUAUAUCAAAUUAUUAAUUAUUAGUACCAGUCAAAUUUUUUUCCAAAUCUAACAUUAUGUGAAUGUAAAAUUAUUAACUGAUAAUUGUAUUAAUGUUAGUAAAAUUAUCAAAUUAGAUUUAAGUUAAGGGUUAGGGUUUUUAAUUUAAGGGUUUAGAGUUUUAAAGUUAAGGGUUAGGGUUUUUAAGUUAAGGGUUAGGGUUUUUAGGUUAAGGGUUUAUGGAUUUUAAGUUAAGGGUUUAGGGUUUUAAAGUUAAUAGUUAGGGUUUUUAGGCUAAGGGGUUAGGAUUUUUAAGUUAAGGGUUUAGAGUUUUUAGGUUAAAGAUUUAGGGUUUUUAAUUUAAGGGUUAGGGUUAGGGUUUUUAGGUUAAGGGUUUAAGGUUUUGUCAAUUAAAUUAUGCAUUUAAUUAUAAUUUAUAAAUUUUUAAUAAGUUAAGGGUUUAGGGUUUUUAAGUAAUAACUCAAAAAAAUUUCUAUUUUAUUACAUCAAAAAAUAUCAAAAUAUUCAAAAUAUUUGUACAAAUAAAUUUAAAUACAAAAAUCAAUGUCUGUGCCUGCGGGAUUCAGUGCCACAUGGCAGCCGUCGAUGGUUACGCGCUAGAUUCCUCAUUUGUCCAGCUUCUGGCGGUGGUUGUGGUUCUUCCGGCGGGGAUUCUGGUUCUUCCAGUAGGGCAUCUGGUUGUCAGAGUUGGGACGAUGAGCCACAUUGAUAGAAUUGUGAAUGUGGAGGUGUUUGCAUCACCAAUGGCGACGGUGUUUAAAACCCAUACGGUGGUAGGGAUUGGUAAAAAAAAGAGCUCCCUGACAGCCCCUCUUGCGAUCCCUCGUGCGUCGCUGGCCUAUACAUCGGCGGUCCACUCGGCGUAACAGAAAAUGGAGCUGAACCGGGCCAUUGGCUCUAACCUGCCAUAGGACUCGAAAAAGGAAACAUAUAAGGGUUAGGAUACAUAAAAGGGCUAGGAAAUGCUCCUGGCAUCAUCUGAAAAGGCAGUUGCGUGGGUAUCAUCGGUUGAACUGCUGGGUCGGGUGAUUGUGUCGGUACUCUCGUUGGGCCGGGUGAAUGUCUAAGCAUCGUUGACGGGCCAGCGUCGUCGUCCUGUCGUCUUGGAUUUAAAGGCCCGCGUCUUUCCCUUUGGACACGUAAUUGCCGCUGCCUCUCCUUUGGCGAUAGUAAAUACGACUUGCCAUAGAGCCUAAACCAUGGUAUAUAUUCCGGCAAGCACACUAACUCCGGAACGACGAUCGGUUCUAUACUAGGUAUAUAGUCAUACCAAUCUUCCCACAUUUGGAUGUACUCGGACCAGAAUCUCGGCCAAUCCGUAUUCAAUUGCCGAAGGUCAAUUUUGUGGUGAUCGUUAAACACCUCAAGUUCCACGGGAAUCGGUUGUCUACAUCCAAAUUACCGUAACACCCUGUCUAAUUGGUGCAUCUCCACGGUCGCGUAGUUGAUCAACGCGACUUUCGCUUGCCAAAUUUUGUAAGAACUCAUCCAGAAUUACUGCCCGAAUUGCCGAAUCCUCGUAUGGUGUCCAUUGAAACUAUAUGAACAUGAUAGAAUAUUAGUUAUAUACAUAAUACUAAAUACUAAAUACCAAUCGACUAGCGAAUGAUGGAAAUAUCAAUUUUAUUUAAUACUUACAUGUGCUUCCGACUGUUGGUCUAAUAGAAGCCGUAUAUCUUCAAGAGAGGUAGGUAAUCGAGCAUGACUUGCCGGAUGGUUCCACCUAAUUAAAUAAAAUUUUAACAUAGUUUUAUUUUUAAAAAUCUACAUAAUAAUUGUAAAAUCUAAUAUAAAAUUUACCUCGUUAUGAGUGGGACUGUAUAUGGGUGGUCCACUCGAUGACGUAGAAAUGGAAAGCGAAACCGUGCCCAUGACUGCAGUACUGACAGGCAACCUCUGAUUUUUUCUUUCCUCAGUCGCGUCGCCCGCACAUCUCCCGAUAUAACGUUGUCAAGACGGCAGACCCCCAACUCAAUUCACCAGCUGCUCUAAAAUUAACGAGUUUCAGCAGUCAUUUUAGAUGUACAUGGCUCCGUGACAAGUCCGGCAUCAGAUAGCCUCUAAUUAACUGAAGAAUGUAUGUCCGAGCAUAUCGGAUUCUUUCUAUUUCGGUUGAAUCUUCAUUUGGAUCCGGAAAUGUGUCUCGCAACCAGCCCAUCUCGAUCUUACCUCUGUCCAUUUUCUUCGGAAUAGCGCCCAAAAGCUCGUAGCAUACCGCAAGUCAAUCGCUAGAUUGGGCAGACCCGGUGACUGGGUACCCGUCCACCGGUAAUCCCAAUUGCAGACUGACAUCUUCCAAAGUGAUAGUGCACUCUCCACAUGGAGGAUGGAAUGUGUGCGUCUCGGGUCUCCACCUCUCGAUCAACGAACUGAUUAGUUUCGGGUCCACCUUGCAUCCCCGGCCUACCGUCGCCACGUGCCAAAAACCCGCUUCCCGCAGGUAGUUCUCUACCAACGGUGAUGGAGGACCAUGCAUAUUUCGGAUAUUGCAUUCCAAUAUCCGAUCUACAGACUUUUAUAACAAAUAAUAAAUUAAUAAUUAUCUAAAAAUGCAUAAAUAAAAAAUUCUUAAAUAAUAUUUAAAAAUUAAAUUUAAUGCUUACCAUUUUCAUUUGUUCCACCGAUAUGUGAUGCUUAUCAAGACGAGUCAAUUCUCCGGCCAUUGCUGAAAUCGUACAAAUUUUUACGGUUUAAAAAAUUUUAAAAAUAAUUUUUUUUAAAAUUAUUUAAAAAUAGGGAUUUAAGUGAAAUUUAAGAGGAACUUGAGAGCAAAUUGAAAAUAAAUAUGGAUUUGAGAGAAAUUUUGAAGGAACUUGAGAGCAGAUUGAGAGGAAAUUUAGAAGAAAUUGAGAGGAAAUUUGAGAGAUGAUUAGUUUGUGAAAAAAAAAAGGAGUGGGAGGUAUUUAUAGUUUUUUUUUUUUACCAUUGGGGGGGCAACGGUCAAAAAAUUGACAGUUGCACUAUUCACGCGCGGGGCAAAUCGCGUCCAUGUCAGCGCGCUUUGCUGACGUGGACACAAAUCGCGCUUCAGAGGAUGCGAUUUGUUGCCAUGUCAGUAAAGCGCACUUACGUGGCCGCGAUUUCCUGGCACGUCCCCUGACAUCGCGCUGACGUGGACGCGAUUUAGGGGAAAAGGGCCCAUUCCGAUAAAUAAUAAAAUACCGGGCCCAUUUCGGUAAAUUUAAAAAAAAUUAGACUUUUAAUGGUAAAUUGCCCAAAAAAAUCUAUGCUUUAGCCUAAAAUUUUUAGUUAUAAUCUUUCAAAACUUUUAGUUUCUUAUAUAAAUAUAUAUAAUUGUUGACUUAUUAAAUUGAAUUAAAAAUAAUUAUAUACAUUAAGAAUAAAUAAUAAAUAAUUUUUAUUUUUUACACAUUUGAAAAUUAUAUAUAUUUAUUAAAUUCUUAAUAAUUAUUUAUAAUUAUUAAUUUCUUUUUUUAAUUUCGUACUCAUCCAAAAUAUUCUAGAAAAUUAAUUGACUACGUUGAAAUGAAUCUGGAAAACUUUUGUCUAGAUUAUUUUAUAUGUAAUUUUUUGUUAAUUUUUAAAAGGUUUCCCUUUUAAAAUUAUUUUUAUUUUUCAAGUUAGUAUGCCACCAUAUGACAACUGGGUGGCUUCUGUAAACCACAAUUCAAUUGAUAACUUUGAUUAAUGAAAGGGGUCAAUUAAUUUUUUGAGUCACUAAACAUUUAAUUAAAUGUAUUUUUUUAUAAAAAUUCAAUUAAUUUUUAAAAUUUUCACCUUUUAACUUAAAUAAUUUAAUGUAAAAUCUAAGUAUGUAAAGCAAAGCUAUAUGUAGUACGUCAUUUAAAUAUCGUUAUUAAUAUGACACAUGCGUUUACGACAUGUUAGUAGUACUAAAGCCUUUGGGUAACUUUGUUGGAAAAGAUAAAAAAAGUUAAUAAAUUUUAAAUAAAUAAAUAUCAAAUAACAGGAGGCUAUUCAAUCAAAUGACAAAGACAUUGUUGAGAAAAAGAUGGCUUUUCCCGGAUGAAAUGAAAAUUGGAUUCAUGUAAGAGGAGAAAGGUUUCCCAUUACUUAGCCGGAAAGAUAUGUGGUCAUGAAAUAAGGAUUAAGUUUUAUAAAUCACAUUAUAUAGGCUGAUUGGUCUGAACUGCUUCAUCUUAAUAGGAUUAGCAACUUUUGGAAUGAGUACAAUGUGUGUAGAGUUUACCUGUUUGAAACCCUUAUCCUUGUUCAGUACUUGUAAGCAGAAAUUGGUAACAUCAUUUCCAACAAUGUGCCAACAUUUUUGAUAAAAUAAAGCUGGUAAUCCAUCUUCCUCUGGGGCUUUUAUAGGUCCCAUCUCAAACACUGCUGCUUUAAUCUCUUCCUUUGUGUAGAAAGCUAUAAGAAAUUGAUUAUUCUCCUCAAAAAUACAUCUAUGAAUUCCCGAUAGCAAAUGAUCACAACUUCCCCUUCUUUUUGUCGUAAAUAAAUUUUGGAAAUAGGAUCGUGCAAUGCCUUCAAUAUCAUGGAUGAUCUCCGCUUCUCUUCCUUCCUCGUCCUAUAAUUUGUGAAUCAGGUUCCUCCGUCUCCGUUGCAUGGCUUGACCGUGAAAGAAAGCAGUAUUCCUAUCUCCAUAUUUCAGCCAGUUUAUGCGCGCUCUCUGUUUCCAGUAGCAGUCAUCCUUAUCUAUUUCAAGAUUCAGUUGAAUCUUUGUGUCAAUUAACUCAACCAAAUUAGGAUCGUCUCUUUCAGCUGCUAAGAGUUUUGAUACCCUAUCUUUGAGAAAUGUCUUUAUCUUCUUCCGAUCAACUUGAGUCUGAAUAGCCCAACUCCUCAAACCAAGUUUUAGCCUAUCUAAUUUCUGCAUCAAAUUACCUGAUGAUGUCCCCCAGAUGUUUUUAACCUCUUCCUCGAACGAUUCCUCCAUUGUCCACCAGGCUUUAAAUUUAAAAGCUUUCUCCGUCACCCCUUGUGCUGCCUUCUUUGUAUUAACUAAAAGGGGGCAAUGAUCAGAGAAAGAAUGAGUAAGAUGUUGGAUAGUUACCUCAGGAAACAUGGCCAUCCAUUCUUCAUUUGCGACACCUCUAUCAAGCCUCUCGCGUAUAUUUGUCUCGGGUAAAUUUCCCCUCUCCCAUGUAAACCAUCUCCUAGAGAACCCCACAUCCACUAGAUUGCAAUCUGUUAGAACAUUGCGAAAUAACUCCAUUCUUCUUUCAUCUCUAGGUACUCCAACCAUCUUUUCAUAUCCGUACAAUAUUUCGUUGAAAUCACCACAAACAAACCACAAAACUCUUUCUCCAGAGUAUAAAUUUCUUAGCACAGCCCAAGAAUUAUUUCUAUCAUGUACAUAUGGGGACCCAUAAAAACCAGUAAACCUCCAUUUACCUCUUACAUCACUAUCGUCUAUCACCACAUCAAUAUGCCUUUUUGAGCACUGCCGUAACGUAACACACACCUCAGAUUUCCACGCCAAACAUAAUCCUCCUCUAGUACCUUCUGGAUCAACUUCUAUCCCAUUAACAUAUCCGCAACUGUACCGGAUCCUUUCCAUUUGAUUUUUACAUAUCUUUGUCUCCAUGAAGAAGAUCAUUUGGGGAUUCUGUAACUUCAGCAUAUACCGAAGUCUCCGUUUAAGUUUGCAAACUUUAAUGUUCAGAUUUGUUGAAUUUUCAAAUUUUGGGUAUUAUUCAUCAUGAAGAACACUUUACUCUUAGGAAAAAAACUAUACUCAUGCCUAUACUUACUGUUUUCAUGCUAUAUUUUUGUUCCAAAAUUCUUUCGUAUAGUGUGUUACAUAAUCAAAUAAAAUUAAGUUUAAAAUUUGAGGUUAUUCACUAAAUCUAAUUCGAUAAGCAUUCAUGUUAUUGUUAAUAUAAAAUAAAAUAAAAUAAAAUAAAUUCUAACGUGCUAAAACAUAUAUAUCUUUUUAUUUAAAAGUUGAAAAGUUAUCGGUUAAGUCUUAAUUUGAUUAGUUUAAGUAGUGUUGUCAAUGCAGAAGGACGUGAAUUUGAGUGCGUUGAAAUGUAUUAUCUUCUUAUUUAUGGGUUGAGAAGAAAUUAUGAAUAAUUCUAGAUAUUCUUAUGUCAAAAAAAUAAAAAUAAUAAAAACUGAAAAGUUAAAACUAGAUAUAGAAAGAAAAUUCCUGAGGCUGAAAUUAAGUUUGAUGGCAUUCGCUUGACAACCACGUUUCCUGUAAUUUAUGUCCUAUAAUGCAGUCUAAGUUGUGGGACCAAAACAUUAAAAUCAUAGCUGAUAUCCUCCACAAAUUUAAUCGGACAGUUUUAAUUUCCUUUUUCAUAUCUAAAAACGUUUUCAAUGAAAAAAAUUAAAAAAUGCGGAACUUAAAAUUAGAAUGUCAGAACCAUGUGUUGUUGUGAAUAAUUAUAAUUUUUUUUUCUCUUUUUCUUUAGUUUCUUUUUCCUGGUAGAUAUGAUUAUAUAUACAUAUAGAGAGAAAUGAUAAGUUUGUAUUAAUGAAAAACUAAAUUAAUUGUAUAUACGAAUUGUAUUUGUUAAUAUAUCAUACUCUACUUAUAUAGAUUGUAUAACGUUAAAGUUUUAGUGAAUUAAAAAUACUAAUUAUUUUAUAUAUAUAUAUAUAUAUAAUAUAAUAUAAAACUUUUGAUUGUUAGAUAUAUAUUAAAAAAUCAUUUAUUAAUCGAUGUGACAAAAAUAAUAAAAUUAAUUGCAAUUUUGUAUGUGUUAUAAUAACAAUUAUAUUGUUAAAUUCUAUCAUUAUUUUGGGUCGUGGGCGAGGUCAAUUUGAUUUAGGAAAUUUUUCUUGUAUUUUUCCUUAUAAAAAUCUGGUAAUUAGUAAAUAUUUGAAAUUGUGCCAAUAUAGUAAGCAGUGCAUCUGUUUGCGGUGAUACUAGUGUUUAACAAGGAGGAGAUGGUGGCCGUAGGGGUUUACAAUAAUUCACUCUUAUAGGGCAGAGAGUCAUAAAUGGAGGAGAUGAGGGAGAUUAGUAAUGGAGAUUAUUAAGGAGGAAAGGAGAUGCCCAUGGUCGAAAAGUAGAAUAGAGAAAGAACUAGAUGGGUCCAUAGGCCAAGUUAGGCCCGGCCCAACCAAAAUUUUAAGUCUAUUUGCUAGGCUCGGGCCCGGCUUGAAAAUGAGUUUAAAAUUUUGUCUAAGCCCAGCCUGAAUAAAAAUGCUAAAAUUUGGGUUCGACCAGGCCUGAUCGUAUUAAAUUUUUAUAUAAUUUUUUAAAAUUAUAUAUAAUAUAUCAAAAAUACUAAAAAUAUUAAAAUAAAUAUUUCUCAACAAAUUUAAAAUAAAUUAGAAAACAAUAUGUAUACUUAAACAACACUAAGAUAGGUGCAACUUAAUAAGCAAAUGCCUCUAAAAUUGAAACAAAAUUAACAAUAAAACAAGGGUCAUACAAUAUUCAAAUAAUAACAAUAAAAUAGUAGCAACAUAAUAUUUAAAUAGUAGCAAAAUAUUAAAAAAAGAAAAUACGAAGAAAAAAAUAAAAAAAUAGUAAGAAAGUAAUAAAAAAAUAGCAGUUUUUCUUCCAUAUUCGGUCCAGGCCAAAAAUGCCUUACCUGAGGUUCGACCCAUUUUCUAAUCGAGCCUUAUUUUUUUCCCAAACUCAUUUUUCAGACCUAUAUUUUUACCCAAACCCUCUCACUUUUUGAGCAGGUCUUUAGGCCGGGCCGAAUAACCUGACCCAUGAACAAGUCUAGAAAAAACCCUAAAAAAAUCCCUUUCCUGAUCUAAAUAUAUAUAUAAAGAUCUUUAGUGGGUCUUAGAGGUGCUCAUGGGUUGGGCGGCCCGGCCCGGCCCGAAGGCCCGCCCGAAAUUUGGGAGGGUUUAGGUAAAAAAAUAGGCCCAAAAUAUGGGCUCGGGCAAAAAAAUAGGCCCGUUUUAAAAACGGGUCGAGCCUCGGGUAAAAUUUUUUGGCUCGGGCCCGGCCCGGCCCGGAUCUAAAUAAUUUUUUUUAUUUUUAAAAUUUAUUAUUAGAAUUAACUUUCCCAAUUCCCCUCCCUAUUUCCCCGACACCCUUCCCUUUUUUUUCUUCAGAGACAAAUCCCUAAAUUCCCUUCCUUUUUUUCCCCCCAAAUCGGAAACCCACCUCGCCCGACCCACCAUUCCACCUCCAGUGACCGGUCCUCCAUGACUCCACCUUCGCUCUAAUGGUGCUUCCAGCGAAUCUAGCCUUCAACGUCUUCAAAGGUGAGUUAUCUGUUAACGGUUUCCUAAUUUUUUAACGUUUUCUCCCUUUUUUGCUUUUUGAUGUUGGUUGUGAUUUUGAUUUUGCUGUUAAUGCUGUUAAUGGUGUUCUGAUUUUAAUUUUGCUGUUAAUGCUGUUAAUGGUUGUGUUUUUUAUUUUUGCUGUUAAUGGUGUUCUGUUAAUGUUGUCAUAUUUAUGGCUUGAAGGUGUCCUGGCACAUAAAUGGUAUCAACACAAAAUGAGGUUGAGAAAAUGAGUUUAAGGCCAUCGAAAUUUUCAGUGUUUAAGCUAUGACGAACCAGUAACAAUGAAUGGAAAAUCUCAAACGAAUUGGAAUAUGAUGUUUGCUUAUUUAACUGUAAGUUUAUUUUUUUAUGAACUGUGAUCCUCUUUAUGAUAAAAAAAAGACACCUACUCAAGGGUAUUUCAUUGAAAUUAUUAUUAGAUUAUUCUAGCCAUUCUGAAAUGAGUUGUCUAAAAACCCAAUACAAACAUGUUACUGUAAUGAUGGUUCAAAGCACAUAUAUGUAGCAGAGAGUAGAUAAAACUUGGUCUGGUNNNNNNNNNNNNNNNNNNNNNNNNNNNNNNNNNNNNNNNNNNNNNNNNNNNNNNNNNNNNNNNNNNNNNNNNNNNNNNNNNNNNNNNNNNNNNNNNNNNNAAGAUCCUGGCAUAUCUGAUUAUAGUUUGUUUUAAUAUUAUAUUCUGGCAGGUUGGUGCCAGUACACAUCAUUCAUGCAUUAAUACAUGAUGCCUUAAGUCUUGAUUAAGCUCUUUGUGUGGAAAGAGCUAUGGAUUCCUAAUAUCGCUUAUUUUCUUGUUAACCUAGUCAUUCAGUUGCCUUAUAAUUUGCUAAGGAUGAAUCAUAUUAUAAAUCAAUUGUUAGAGUCUCAUGGACCUUCCUUUUAUGUCUUUGUUGUCACCUUCUUUUUCUUUUUUAUUAUUUCAAUUUUGAAAAGCUAAUGAAUUUUUAUUGGUAAUAAUGCAUUCUUACUACCACUGACUUGCAAGAGCUUUGUUUGCUUAUAUUUGGUAGCCUGAACUUUAUGUCAGUGUAGACACAAUCAUAAGUAGUUGAAACCUGAAGCUCAUUGCAUCCCUCGCAGGAAAAAAAUAUUUAUUUAAGCGGGGGCUGAAAUUUGUUCAUUUAUUUUCAUUUAACUAGUUCCAGCAUCAACUGAAUGAUUAAUUAAGAGAAAGCUAGGGAGUAAUACCAUUACAUUUAUGGUCUAAACAUUUGUUUGAGAUUUGUUUUCAUUCAUAUUCCAAUUCGUUAUGGUCCAAACGAAUUGGAAAAUCUCAAACGAACCGUUACAUUUGUUUUCAUUAGUUUGAUAUAGUAGUUGUGUUUGCUUUGUUGCUUUAUUUAAUCUCUUUUUUUUUUGUGUUUGCUUUGUUUUAUUGCAGAAACAAGCUAUUUAGUGAGGCAGAAAAAAUAGCAAGCCCAGGCAGGUUGCUACUAUCACUAUCUCACACCCUUUCCUUCAAAAUAGUCAACCUUAGCGACUUUUCAUUUGAAUUUUGUGUGUUCUUUUAGUAUUACUUAAAGACAUGUGACAAGUUUGAUCUUGUAUCACAAGGCUACUAGCAUAGUUAAAUAACUAGUUUAUUAUCUCAUGCAUAUAUGAGUUCGGUAUUAUACUAUUAUGUAUUAUGUAUAUGUAUUUAUUUUUAUANNNNNNNNNNNNNNNNNNNNNNNNNNNNNNNNNNNNNNNNNNNNNNNNNNNNNNNNNNNNNNNNNNNNNNNNNNNNNNNNNNNNNNNNNNNNNNNNNNNNNNNNNNNNNNNNNNNNNNNNNNNNNNNNNNNNNNNNNNNNNNNNNNNNNNNNNNNNNNNNNNNNNNNNNNNNNNNNNNNNNNNNNNNNNNNNNNNNNNNNNNNNNNNNNNNNNNNNNNNNNNNNNNNNNNNNNNNNNNNNNNNNNNNNNNNNNNNNNNNNNNNNNNNNNNNNNNNNNNNNNNNNNNNNNNNNNNNNNNNNNNNNNNNNNNNNNNNNNNNNNNNNNNNNNNNNNNNNNNNNNNNNNNNNNNNNNNNNNNNNNNNNNNNNNNNNNNNNNNNNNNNNNNNNNNNNNNNNNNNNNNNNNNNNNNNNNNNNNNNNNNNNNNNNNNNNNNNNNNNNNNNNNNNNNNNNNNNNNNNNNNNNNNNNNNNNNNNNNNNNNNNNNNNNNNNNNNNNNNNNNNNNNNNNNNNNNNNNNNNNNNNNNNNNNNNNNNNNNNNNNNNNNNNNNNNNNNNNNNNNNNNNNNNNNNNNNNNNNNNNNNNNNNNNNNNNNNNNNNNNNNNNNNNNNNNNNNNNNNNNNNNNNNNNNNNNNNNNNNNNNNNNNAAUUAUAUAUUCAAUAACCGAGUUAUAAAUAAUAUUAUUUUUGGAUUGCAGGACUUGAGUUUUAUGACUAUGGCUAGUUCAAACACUCCUAUACCUAUGGGUGAUGGGUUUAAUGAGUAUGAAAGUUCUCUCAAACGUCAAAAGUCUACCACUUCAAAGGUGUGGGAUGAAAUGACAAAGCUUGAAUGCGAGAACAAAAAUGAAUUGAAGGCACAAUGUAAUCACUGUAAGACUAUCUUCUCUACUAAAUCUUCUAGUGGAACCUCUCAUUUAAGAAGUCAUCUAAAUAGCUGUUUGAAAAAAGUUAAUAAGGACAUCACUCAAUACACCAUAGCCACUCAACCAUCACCCGAAGGUGUUCCAUCUAUAAAAAACUACAAGUUUGAUGCUGAUGAGUGUCGUAAAGCUAUUUCUACUUUUCUUGUGUGUGGCAAGCAUUCAUUUAGGACAAUUGAAGAACCGGGCUUUAGAUACAUGAUGAGAAUUGCUAGUCCUAAUUUUAAGAAUAUAAGUAGACAUACAGCUGCUACGGAUGUCCUAAUGUAUUAUGCAAAAGAGAGAGAUCGUGUUAAAGAAGAGUUGGCUAAAGCACCUAGUUUAGUUUGUCUAACUUCUGAUAAUUGGAACUCAGAGCAUACUAAUGAUGAAUAUAUUUGCAUUACUAUUCAUUGGGUUGACAAAGAUUGGAAGCUACAAAAGAGAAUCAUAAGGUUUAGAGCUUUAUUUCCUCCGUAUGAUGGUUUGAACAUAGCGGAUGAAUUUGUUUUAUGUUUAUCUCAAUGGGGUAUAGAUAAGAAAAUUUUUAGCAUCACUUUGGAUAAUGCUUCUUAUAAUGAUGUUAUGGUUUCUUGUCUUAAAAAUUGUUUUCGUGAAAACCGAGCUAUUUUGUGUGAUGGUGCUUUUUUUCAAGUUAGAUGUUGUGCACAUAUAUUGAAUCUCAUAGUUAAAGCUGGUUUGGUACUUGCUGAUGAUGUUGUUGGUAAGAUUCGAAAUGGAAUUAGGUACAUAAGAAAGUCGGGAAUUCGUAGGAAAAGAUUUUAUGAUGUGGCCGACAAAAGUUUUCAUUUGAAUGUGACCAAAAAGUUGCAUCAAGAUGUGUGUGUGAGAUGGAAUUCUACUUAUUUGAUGCUUGAAUCUUCUCUUUACUAUAAAGAUGUGCUAGAUUAUUGGGGCCAACGGGAUAAAGAUUAUCAAAUGUUUGCACUUUCUAACGAGGAGUGGAGAAAUGUUGUUAUUCUUUGCAAAUUUUUGAAAGUCUUUUAUGAUGUGACUUGUGUUUUUUCUGUUUCUAAUUAUCCAACGGCUAAUCUUUAUUUUAGAGGAGUUUGGAAGGUUCACAAGGUCUUGCUUGAUAUAGUUAAAGGUCCUUUUUCGNNNNNNNNNNNNNNNNNNNNNNNNNNNNNNNNNNNNNNNNNNNNNNNNNNNNNNNNNNNNNNNNNNNNNNNNNNNNNNNNNNNNNNNNNNNNNNNNNNNNUUGGGCUGAGUAUUCGUUGAUAUUGUCAUGUGCUGCAAUUUUAGAUCUUCGUUACAAGUUGAAUUAUGUGCAGUAUUACUUUAAUACAAUCUAUGGUAUUCAUGCUUCAGAUUUUGUUGAGACCAUUCUUAGCAAUCUUAGACUCUUGUUUGAUGAGUAUGUUAAGAAAUCCAAAUCAACGUCUUCCUCUUUGGCUGGGAGUUCUAAUGUUUCGGAUAAAAAUCCUGUUGAUUCUGGUUUAGAUGAACACAAUGAUAGUAGUGCUGAUUUUGGGGGAUAUUUUGAUGAGAGUGAUGAUUAUAAACGGUAUUUAAAUGAAUCUAGCACUAGGAGUGAGAAGUCACAGUUGGACAUUUAUUUGGAAGAACCGGAGCUUGAGUUGAAUAGUCAAAUAGAUGUUUUAGAUUAUUGGAGCAAAAGUUCAGUUCGAUACAAUGAGCUUUCAUUAUUGGCUCGUGAUCUUUUGGCAAUUCCAAUAUCGACUGUAGCUUCUGAAUCGGCUUUUAGCAUGGGUAAGAAAGUUAUCACACCUUUGAGGAGUUCGCUUAAGCCAAAAACGGUUCAAGCCGUUGUUUGCUUGGAUGAUUGGAUGCGAGCUAAGGGAUUUUCAGUAGGUAAUUAUUAUUCUCGUUUAUUGUUCGAAUUUUAUAUUAUUUUUUCAUCAAUUUGAUUAUCUAAUUAUUUAUUCUUAUUUCAUGUUAGAAAUUGGUUGCAAAAAGGACGAUGAGGACGAUGACGACGAUAAGAACGAUGAUGAUGAUGAUGUUUCUUCAAUAGCUUUUUCAGAUAAUUUCUUUCUAAAUGUUUAAAAUUUAAUUUAGCUUACAAUUUAUAUUUUGUUAUGAAAUUAAAUAUGUUGAUGGAUUAAUGUAUGAAUAUUAUGGUUUGUUGCUUAAUUUUCCAAAGUCAUUUUGGAGGUAUAUGUACUUGUGGGGUUGAACUUAUGUUUUCUUAUCUCAAACAUAGUUUGAAGCAAAAUUAGAGAUUGGGAUUUUCAAUGCUUGAUUUUGUUGUGAUUAUUAUGAUUAACAACAAACAUAUGGCUAAAACUUUGUACUAACAUUUAAACAGUGGCAUUCAAAUUUUUUUAGAUUUAUUCUGAUUAAUUAUCAUAUUCUUUCUUGAUAUGCUAUGCUAGAUUUGGACAUUCAUUUGAUACAUUCUAGUUGAUCUCUUUUUCAUCUAGUAACUUUGAUCUUUGGAUUAAAACUUUUAAAAAAGAAAAAAAGUUGAGCUUUACCAUUUUAAGUAUAGAGUAUAGAAUAAGAAGUUAAGAACUGACUCCAUAUUUUAAAAUUUAUAUAAUAAGUAUUUUUUGGCUACUUUUGUCUUACUUAUUAAAUUGAGUAUGGAACUAUGGAUCAAAGAUCAAUGAGAGUAAUAGUAUGGAUCAAUUUUGAUAUUGUUAUCCUUUAAAAGCAUAAAAAUGUAAUGAUAUGAUAAACUUUAAAANNNNNNNNNNNNNNNNNNNNNNNNNNNNNNNNNNNNNNNNNNNNNNNNNNNNNNNNNNNNNNNNNNNNNNNNNNNNNNNNNNNNNNNNNNNNNNNNNNNNAUUGUUUGUAAUUACUUGUAUAAUCAUUUUUUAUUUUUAAGAUUUGAUUGUUUGUAAUUAAAUUCAAAUUAAUUGUUUGUAAUUAAAUUCAAAUAAGUAAUCUUAUUUUAUUUUUUUGUUCAUUAUAUACAAAAAAAAUUACAAUUUGAUAUUUGAUAUAAAUUCAAUAACAAUUAAUUUUAAUAACAAUUAGUUUUAACUUUUAAGUCAAAAAAAAAACGGGCUGGGCCCGGGCUUCAUAUUUUUUUCACGGGCCGGGCCUGGGCAAAAUGUCAGGCCCAUAUUUCGGGUCGAGCCGGGCCCGGGCCUAAGAAAUGGGCUAAAAUUUUUUUAUGGGUCCGAACCCGGCCUGGCCCGGCCCAUGAGCACCUCUAGUGGGUCUCUCAUUGUGAUCAAAAUAUUUAUAUAUAACACUAUUGUUGGGAUCGACCUGAUUAAGCAACAAGUAAAAAAAAUAGCGGAAUAAAUUGAGAAAUUGAACACACAAAUUUAACGUGGAAAACCCCUUCCAAAGAGGAUAAAAAAAACCAUAGGCAAAUAUAAUUUUAUUAUAAUGGCAAAAGAACGAAGAGUACAAAAGAUGGAGAUAAAAACUAAACCCCGAAAACCCGAAAACAAAGAACCCUCAAAACAUAAACACAAAAUUCUCUAAAUGUGUUAUGAGUUCUAAUGUUGUAAAAGAGCCUAUUUAUAGGCUAAAUUCAUAGGUCAAAUAAUAAUAAAAUAAUCUAGACUAAUCAGAGUUUGAUUGAAACAAAUAAACAGAGUUUAACAGGAAGAUUAUUUUUCAAAUUUGACUGAAAUAGGAGUCAUACUCAACAACUAUCAAUUAGAGACCUUAAAAGCUCACACUUUAUGCAUGACCUUUGAGCUAUGUAGAAAGGUAAUUCCUCUAAAUGCCAUUGUUUUUUUUUUAUCGGAUAAGCUUUAUGCUUUAUUAGCUUUAGCUUAGGCACAUGCCGUGCGUGUUGGAGUUAGAGGUGAGCGUUCAAUUGAGUCGAAUCGAAUGAAAAAUUUUCAAGUUUAUCGAGCUGACAAAUUCUAUAUAUCAUCCUAACUCAAUUUGAAAUUUUCUCGAAUUGAGUUGAGUGAGAUGAAAUUUGAAUUGAAUGGAAUUGAAUAUAUUUGUUCGAGUUAAAUUAAAAAAAAUGAUUUUGGGUCCUUGUAACACACCACCCACCGUAAUCAAAUUUGUUAUUAACUUUUAUCCCCUCAUAAUUUAUUUGCUAAUCUUUUAUGUACGAUUUGGCUUCUUUGUUUGCUUAUUUGUUUCAAUUAUUUUCUUAUUCUUAUCACCAUGUAUUUUGAAAUUAAAAAAUAUAUUAAAUAUAAAAAAUAUAAUUUUUUAAUAAAAUUAUUUUAAAGAUAAAAUGUGAAAUUGAUACCAACAUAAAAUUUUAACACAAAUAUUUUAUAGCAUCAUUAAUAAUUCAAUUGCAACAAAAUUUGAUAAAGAUUCAACAUGAUUAAAAAAUUCAAUAAUAUAAAUAGUACAAAAUGUGAAAUUUAAUUUAAUAAUAUAAAUAGUAGAAAUAAAUUUGAAAAAAAAAUUUGGGGUUUGGAAAGAAGUAAAAAUUUUGGAAGAAAGCAAAAGGAAAACAGUUUUGGAGAGUUUUGGGGAAGUAAAAGGAAAAAAAAAUUUGGGCAAAAUAAAAUUUUUGUGGCGGAAGUAAAAGUUUUUGGAAAAAAGUGAAGGAAAAAAAAAUUUAAGGGUUUCGAAAAGUACAAUUUUAGGGGAGAAAGUAAAAUGGUUUGAGAGAUAGAGAGAAGAAUUUUGUAUUUGGUUUAUUUGAAUUAUUUAAAUUAUUCGAAUUUAAAAAUUCAAUUCGAAUAAUUUGAAUUCUUUUCCGAGCCAGGCUAAUGCUUUUGACUGAAAAUACAUGGUGAUGGUGUAAUUCUUAGGAAUAUUAGUAAACAUAUUUUGAUGGGUACCGGCUACCGACUACGGGCCAUGGACAAAGUGAGGUCGUUGCUAAUAGGAUUGUUGGCUUGUAGCUGAGCUGGACACAGUUGCAAGUAAAGGAUCUUCCUUUACUAAUUUUGGCAUGAUUUAGAUACAUGUGAAAAAAAAAAUGUUUGAAAUUAAAUAAAUGCAAUGAAUGUGUUAAAAUAAGACAGGGGAUUGUCUAAAAAUGUGCCAAAAUUAAGGAGCCGCUGAGACAAACAUCAUCUAUAAAUAGGGGCUCAUGCAACGUCUCUUGACCACCAUAACAAGCUUCGAGAGAUCGUAAUUACAGAGAGAUAAAAGACUGAUCGAGAUGGAAAUAGUUCAAGUUCUUCAUAUGAAUGGAGGAGUUGGAGAAACCAGUUAUGCAAAAAACUCUUUACUUCAGGUAUGUAUGUAUGUAUGUAUGUAUGUAUGUAUGUAUGUAUGCUGUGAUUUUUUAACCUGAAAUAUCUUGGACAGCAAAAGGUGAUAACCAUGACAAAGCCAAUCACAGAGGACGCAAUAACUAAGCUCUAUUGCAGCAAAUAUCCGGAAGAAAUAGCCAUUGCAGAUUUGGGUUGUUCUUCGGGACCUAAUACUUUCUUUUUGGUAUCUGAACUUCUCAAAGUGGUGGAUAGUGUUCGCCAAAAGAUAGGCCAAAAAUCCCCCGAGUAUCAAGUGUUUCUGAAUGAUCUUCCUGGGAAUGAUUUCAACACCAUUUUCAGGUCCUUGUCCAUCUUCCAAAACAAACUGAGGAAGCAACUUGGACCCGACAGCGGACCAUGUUUUUUCACGGGAGUACCUGGUUCUUUCUACGGAAGGCUUUUCAGGAAAAACAGCCUUCAUUUCGUACACUCUUCCUAUAGUCU
rnacentral:lncRNA from 1 species